rnacentral:rRNA from 1 species
GAUGAACGCUGGCGGCGUGCUUAACACAUGCAAGUCGAACGGAAAGGCCCCUGCUUGUAGGGGUCCUCGAGUGGCGAACGGGUGAGUAACCCGUGGGUGCUCUGUCCCUCACUUCGGGAUAUGCUUGGGAAACAGGGUCUCAUCCCGGAUAGGACGUUGCUUUGGAUGCCAUUCCGGAAUGUUUUUUCGUUGUGGGUUGAGUUCGCGCCCUAUCAGCUUGUUGUUGGGGUAUUGGCCUAGCAAGGCGUCGGCGGGUAGCCGGCGUGGGAGGGUGUACGGCAACAUUGAGACUGAGAUACGGCCCAGGCUCCUACGGGUGGGAGCAGUGGGGGAGGUUGAACAAUGGGAGCAAGCCUGAUGCAGAGGCGGCGAGGGGGGGAUAACGGUCAUGGUGUUGUAAACUCCAUUCGCUAGGGACGGAGCGCAUGUGGCGGUAACUGGAGGAGAAGGACCCGGUAACUUUGGGC